UCCUAAUGUAUAUUAUUUGCUAUUUAUAGGUACCUCUCGGGAAGAGGUCACUUCAGCAAUUGUUCUCCUUAGUGUAUGGACAAAGAAAUCAUCUAUGUCAGAAACCCCACCAACAACUGCAAGGGUAUUUGAGUUAACCACUGCUAAGGCUAGGUUUUCAUUGGAAGCCUAAAUACAUAUGCAGAGCCUUGAAUUCGUUAAGAGAAGGCAUGUCCGGGUUAAUCAUCAAAACUGAGCAAUUAUGACAGUGGUUCCAGGAAAUGCUUGGAUGUUGUUGUUCACAUGCUCAGCGAAUGAUCCCCAGAGCACAAC